UCCUGCCAGUAGCCAUAUGCUUGUCUUAAAGAUUAAGCCAUGCAUGUCUAAGAAUAAGUCUUUGAAUGACGAAUCUGCGAAUGGCUCAUUAAAUCAGUUAUUGUUUAUUUGAUGUGUGUAAGGAGUCCGCAAGGGCUUUUUACUAUUGGAUAACCGUAGUAAUUCUAGAGCUAAUACAUGUCAUAAUUUUGAAAGCCUUUGAUUUAUUUUCAGGGGCUGCAUUUAUUAGCACUAAAACCAAUUAAGACCCCUUCACGGGGGCCUUUUAACUUGGUGAAUCAUAAUAACUAAGCAAAUCGAAAAUUAAAGGGGUACUGGGGUUUAGUGAGUAUGGUCCGCCCAGCUUCUACCUCAGUGUCCUUUCGAUGCUUCAUUCAAAUUUCUGCCCUAUCAGCUUUCGAUGGUAGGAUAUUGGCCUACCAUGGCUAUAACGGGUAACGGGGAAUCAGGGUUCGGUUCCGGAGAGGGAGCUUGAGAAAUGGCUACCACAUCCAAGGAUGGCAGCAGGCGCGCAAAUUACCCAAUCCCAAUACGGGGAGGUAGUGACAAUAAAUAACAAUGUUGGAAUAUUUUAAAAAUUCCAACAAUUGGAAUGAGAGGAAUUUAAAUCUCUUCUCGAGGAACCAUUGGAGGGCAAGUCUGGUGCCAGCAGCCGCGGUAAUUCCAGCUCCAAUAGCGUAUGUUAAAGUUGUUGCAGUUAAAAAGCUCCUCUUAUGUGUUUUGAUCGUCACUGUUGACUGUGGAAGUCAGUAUUCUGUACUACUUCUCAGCUCAUAGUGAACUGAUCCCGUAAUUGAAUUAGACGUCCCAGCUUUGCUUGUAUUUUGAAGUACUUUAUCAUUCGAGCUUCAUUGCUCGAGUGGUAAGCUAAUAGGACUUCAAUUGUUUACUUUGAGAAAACUAGAGUGUUCAAAGCAGGCGAAUUAAAAAUUUCUCUCGCAACUGAAUACAUUAGCAUGGGAUAAUAAAAUAGGACAUUUAUAGGGGAGAAUGCCCUUGACUUCUGAGUACCUUUGCGGGUAUUCUUUAGUUCUUACAAGGCUUCUCUCUUUGGUCCUAUUAUGUUUUUGAUUGGUGGUUCAAGGACCAAUGUAAUGAUUAAUAGGAACGGUUGGGGACAUUCAUAUUGCAUGGCUAGAGGUGAAAUUCUUGGAUUCAUGCAAGAUGAAC
rnacentral:rRNA from 1 species